UACGUAGGGGGCAAGCGUUGUCCGGAUUUAUUGGGCGUAAAGAGCGUGUAGGCGGCCUUACAGGUCAGCUGUGAAAACUCGAGGCUCAACCUCGAGACGCCGAUGGAAACCAUGUGGCUAGAGUCCGGAAGAGGAGAGUGGAAUUCCUGGUGUAGCGGUGAAAUGCGCAGAUAUCAGGAAGAACACCCGUGGCUAAGGCGGCUCUCUAGUACGGUACUGACGCUGAGACGCGAAAAGCGUGGGGAGCGAACAGG
rnacentral:rRNA from 1 species